UACGUAGGGCGCAAGCGUUGUCCGGAAUCAUUGGGCGUAAAGCGCGCGUAGGUGGCUUCGUAAGUCCGUUGUGAAAGUCAAAGGCUCAACCUUUGAAUGCCGAUGGAUACUGCGAAGCUAGAGUACGGAAGAGGCGAGUGGAAUUCCUGGUGUAGCGGUGGAAUGCGCAGAUAUCAGGAGGAACACCAAUAGCGAAGGCAGCUCGCUGGGACGUUACUGACACUAAGGCGCGAAAGCGUGGGGAGCGAACAGG
rnacentral:rRNA from 1 species